UACGUAGGGUGCGAGCGUUAAUCGGAAUUACUGGGCGUAAAGAGUGCGUAGGCGGUUCUUGAAGUCCGCUGUGAAAGCCCCGGGCUUAACCUGGGAAUGGCAGUGGAAACUGGAGGACUUGAAUUGAGCAGAGGGGGGUGGAAUGCCGGCGUGUAGCAGUGAAAUGCGUAGAGAUGCGGCGGAACACCGAUGGCGAAGGCAGCCCCUGGGCUUAAAUUGACGCUGAGGCACGAAAGCGUGGGGAGCAAACAGG
rnacentral:rRNA from 1 species